GAGGACAUAGCUCAGUGGUAGAGUGCAUGCUUAGCAUGCAUGAGGUCCUGGGUUCAAUUCCCAAUACCCCA
rnacentral:tRNA from 1 species